GCCAGGAGUGGUGGUGAAUGCCUGUAAUCCCAGUGGUUUGGGAGGCUGAGGCAGGAGGAUCGUGAGUUCAAAGCCAGCCUCAGCAACUCAGUGAAGUGCUAAACAACUCAGUGAGACCCUGUCUCUA
rnacentral:sRNA from 1 species